ACCUAAGAGAUUAGGCGUUCCCUUCGGGGACGGAAUGACAGGUGGUGCAUGGUUGUCGUCAGCUCGUGUCGUGAGAUGUUGGGUUAAGUCCCGCAACGAGCGCAACCCUUAUUGUCAGUUGCCAGCAUUUAGUUGGGCACUCUGGCGAGACUGCCGGUGACAAACCGGAGGAAGGUGGGGAUGACGUCAAAUCAUCAUGCCCCUUAUGACCUGGGCUACACACGUGCUACAAUGGGUGGUACAACGAGCGGCGAGACCGCGAGGUCAAGCGAAUCUCUAAAAACCAUCCUCAGUUCGGAUUGCAGGCUGCAACUCGCCUGCAUGAGGCUGGAAUCGCUAGUAAUCGCGGAUCAGCACGCCGCGGUGAAUACGUUCCCGGGUCUUGUACACACCGA
rnacentral:rRNA from 1 species